rnacentral:rRNA from 1 species
UACGUAGGCGGAAUAUUAAGUCAGUGGUGAAAUCCUGCGGCUCAACCGUAGAACUGCCAUUGAUACUGAUAUUCUUGAAUAUAGUUGAGGUAGGCGGAAUGUGUAAUGUAGCGGUGAAAUGCUUAGAUAUUACACAGAACACCGAUUGCGAAGGCAGCUUACUAAACUAUUAUUGACGCUGAUGUACGAAAGCGUGGGGAGCGAACAGGAUUAGAUACCCUGGUAGUCC